GCCUGGGUGGCUCAGUUGGUUGAGCGUCCGACUUCAGCUCAGGUCAUGGUCUCAUGGUAGGUCCGUGGGUUCGAGCCCCGUGUCAGGCU
rnacentral:tRNA from 1 species